rnacentral:lncRNA from 1 species
UAUUCUUGCCCUUUCCUUGGAUAUCAAGGCUUUAAUUCCAUAAUAAAGAUAAGGAGGUGGGUUGCAGUUACAUUUCUGUUCCCUUUUUACAGUAGCCGCCUUCUCUUUCAGGGUUUAGGAUCUCUGCAGUUGCUCCUGUUAGCACAUCCAAGAUUCUGUGAAUCAUCUAACCAUGAGUUACCAAAGAGAGAAACAUACAGUACAUUAUGAAGAGUCACCUUAAGGUAUCUCCUAUAUAGUUACUACAUGGUAUGAAAAAAGAAUUGUGGUAAACAGACACAUUGUGGUUUGUGGGUGCAGAAGUGUGGUUGUAGAGAAAAGCCAUCUGAUUUCCAAGCCACAAAGUUGGACCUCAAUCAGAAAGGAGAGAACACUCUUCUCAC